rnacentral:rRNA from 1 species
CGGAGAACUGAAACAUCUUAGUACCCGGAGGAAGAGAAAGAAAAAUCGAUUCCCUGAGUAGCGGCGAGCGAAACGGGAAGAGCCCAAACCAACAAGCUUGCUUGUUGGGGUUGUAGGACACUCUAUACGGAGUUACAAAAGAACAUGUUAGACGAAUCAUCUGGAAAGAUGAAUCAAAGAAGGUAAUAAUCCUGUAGUCGAAAACAUAUUCUCUCUUGAGUGGAUCCUGAGUACGACGGAGCACGUGAAAUUCCGUCGGAAUCUAGGAGGACCAUCUCCUAAGGCUAAAUACUCUCUAGUGACCGAUAGUGAACCAGUACCGUGAGGGAAAGGUGAAAAGUACCCCGGAAGGGGAGUGAAAGAGAACUUGAAACCGUGUGCUUACAAGUAGUCAGAGCCCGUU